rnacentral:rRNA from 1 species
UGGGGAAUAUUGCACAAUGGGCGCAAGCCUGAUGCAGCAACGCCGCGUGAGGGACGACGGCCUUCGGGUUGUAAACCUCUUUUAGUAGGGAAGAAGCGAAAGUGACGGUACCUGCAGAAAAAGCACCGGCUAACUACGUACCAGCAGCCGCGGUAAUACGUAGGGUGCGAGCGUUGUCCGGAAUUAUUGGGCGUAAAGAGCUCGUAGGCGGUCUGUCGCGUCUGCUGUGAAAACCCGAGGCUCAACCUCGGGCCUGCAGUGGGUACGGGCAGACUAGAGUGCGGUAGGGGAGAAUGGAAUUCCUGGUGUAGCGGUGGAAUGCGCAGAUAUCAGGAGGAACACCGAUGGCGAAGGCAGUUCUCUGGGCCGUAACUGACGCUGAGGAGCGAAAGCGUGGGAAGCGAACAGGAUUAGAUACCCUGGUAGUCCACGCCGUAAACGUUGGGCGCUAGAUGUGGGGACCAUUCCACGGUUUCCGUGUCGCAGCUAACGCAUUAAGCGCCCCGCCUGGGGAGUACGGCCGCAAGGCUAAAACUCAAAGGAAUUGACGGGGUCAUAGCUGUUUCCU